CACAGACAGAUGCCAUUGACGGCCCAGAAGGACACCAAGAAACAGCUGGCAUUACCUGGGGAUGGAGGCACGGACUGUUUGCAGAGGGCCCCGGACAGCAGUUCCAGUUUCCGACCUCCCAAAGCUCCUAUACACCUGCCAGAUAUUAAAUCCUAAGAAAUAGGCCUCGGAGAUGCCUUAAAAUCAGAGGUUCGAGUGGGAUGACGUUUGGAACUUUCCAGGGAGCCAGCUAGAAGUGUGGAAGGCAUGGAAAACUUUCACAGUGAGAAGAACAUGAACUCACAGCCACCGACGCCUGACGGGUCCCUGCAGUGAGAGCUUAGUGCUCAUCCCCAGAGCCACCGACUCAUCCUUGGAAGUGUCCUGGCCCCCGAGCUGAGGUUCAGCUGAGCAAUAAAUCCUUCUCACCCCAGAGCCAGUGCAUCCCUGAUUGCUGGCAGUGAUGACUCUGGACAGGGCUGUCCUGUGUCUCUUCCAGCACACACAGUAGGGCUGGGCUCUCAGCAGUGGCACUCCCCAGUGCCAGUUAAUCCCAGCAGAGAGGAAAAGAGGAGCCCUGUGUCCCUCUGACUUACCCACAGC